rnacentral:rRNA from 1 species
AUUGAACGCUGGCGGCAUGCCUUACACAUGCAAGUCGAACGGUAACAGGUCUUCGGAUGCUGACGAGUGGCGAACGGGUGAGUAAUACAUCGGAACGUGCCUAGUAGUGGGGGAUAACUACUCGAAAGAGUGGCUAAUACCGCAUGAGAUCUACGGAUGAAAGCAGGGGAUCGCAAGACCUUGUGCUACUAGAGCGGCCGAUGGCAGAUUAGGUAGUUGGUGGGAUAAAAGCUUACCAAGCCGACGAUCUGUAGCUGGUCUGAGAGGACGAUCAGCCACACUGGGACUGAGACACGGCCCAGACUCCUACGGGAGGCAGCAGUGGGGAAUUUUGGACAAGGGGCGCAAGCCUGAUCCAGCAAUGCCACGUGCAAGAUGAAGGCCUUCGGGUUGUAAACUGCUUUUGUACGGAACGAAAAGCCCUGGGUUAAUACCCUGGGGUCAUGACGGUACCGUAAGAAUAAGCACCGGCUAACUACGUGCCAGCCGCCGCCGUAACAC